UACGUAGGUGGCAAGCGUUGUCCGGAAUUAUUGGGCGUAAAGCGCGCGCAGGCGGUCCUUUAAGUCUGAUGUGAAAGCCCACGGCUCAACCGUGGAGGGUCAUUGGAAACUGGGAGACUUGAGUGCAGAAGAGAAGAGCGGAAUUCCACGUGUAGCGGUGAAAUGCGUAGAGAUGUGGAGGAACACCAGUGGCGAAGGCGGCUCUUUGGUCUGUAACUGACGCUGAGGCGCGAAAGCGUGGGGAGCAAACAGG
rnacentral:rRNA from 1 species